rnacentral:rRNA from 1 species
GACGAACGCUGGCGGCGUGCUUAACACAUGCAAGUCGAACGGAAAGGCCCUGCUUUUGUGGGGUGCUCGAGUGGCGAACGGGUGAGUAACACGUGAGUAACCUGCCCUUGACUUUGGGAUAACUUCAGGAAACUGGGGCUAAUACCGGAUAGGAGCUCCUGCUGCAUGGUGGGGGUUGGAAAGUUUCGGCGGUUGGGGAUGGACUCGCGGCUUAUCAGCUUGUUGGUGGGGUAGUGGCUUACCAAGGCUUUGACGGGUAGCCGGCCUGAGAGGGUGACCGGCCACAUUGGGACUGAGAUACGGCCCAGACUCAUACGGGAGGCAGCAGUGGGGAAUAUUGCACAAUGGGCGGAAGCCUGAUGCAGCAACGCCGCGUGCGGGAUGACGGCCUUCGGGUUGUAAACCGCUUUCGCCUGUGGCGAAGCGUGAGUGGCGGUAAUGGGUAAAGAAGCACCGGCUAACUACGUG